rnacentral:tRNA from 1 species
CUCGCCUUAGCUCAGCUGGAAGAGCGCAACAAUACGAAUGUUGAGGUCGCAGGUUCGAUCCCUGCAGGCGGGUCCA